rnacentral:rRNA from 1 species
GUAGGGCGGGACACGUGGUAUCCUGUCUGAAUAUGGGGGGACCAUCCUCCAAGGCUAAAUACUCCUGACUGACCGAUAGUGAACCAGUACCGUGAGGGAAAGGCGAAAAGAACCCCGGCGAGGGGAGUGAAAAAGAACCUGAAACCGUGUACGUACAAGCAGUGGGAGCACGCUUAGGCGUGUGACUGCGUACCUUUUGUAUAAUGGGUCAGCGACUUAUAUUCUGUAGCAAGGUUAACCGAAUAGGGGAGCCGAAGGGAAACCGAGUCUUAACUGGGCGUUAAGUUGCAGGGUAUAGACCCGAAACCCGGUGAUCUAGCCAUGGGCAGGUUGAAGGUUGGGUAACACUAACUGGAGGACCGAACCGACUAAUGUUGAAAAAUUAGCGGAUGACUUGUGGCUGGGGGUGAAAGGCCAAUCAAACCGGGAGAUAGCUGGUUCUCCCCGAAAGCUAUUUAGGUAGCGCCUCGUGAAUUCAUCUCCGGGGGUAGAGCACUGUUUCGGCAAGGGGGUCAUCCCGACUUACCAACCCGAUGCAAACUGCGAAUACCGGAGAAUGUUAUCACGGGAGACACACGGCGGGUGCUAACGUCCGUCGUGAAGAGGGAAACAACCCAGACCGCCAGCUAAGGUCCCAAAGUCAUGGUUAAGUGGGAAACGAUGUGGGAAGGCCCAGACAGCCAGGAUGUUGGCUUAGAAGCAGCCAUCAUUUAAAGAAAGCGUAAUAGCUCACUGGUCGAGUCGGCCUGCGCGGAAGAUGUAACGGGGCUAAACCAUGCACCGAAGCUGCGGCAGCGACGCUUAUGCGUUGUUGGGUAGGGGAGCGUUCUGUAAGCCUGUGAAGGUGUGCUGUGAGGUAUGCUGGAGGUAUCAGAAGUGCGAAUGCUGACAUAAGUAACGAUAAAGCGGGUGAAAAGCCCGCUCGCCGGAAGACCAAGGGUUCCUGUCCAACGUUAAUCGGGGCAGGGUGAGUCGACCCCUAAGGCGAGGCCGAAAGGCGUAGUCGAUGGGAAACAGGUUAAUAUUCCUGUACUUGGUGUUACUGCGAAGGGGGGACGGAGAAGGCUAUGUUGGCCGGGCGACGGUUGUCCCGGUUUAAGCGUGUAGGCUGGUUUUCCAGGCAAAUCCGGAAAAUCAAGGCCGAGGCGUGAUGACGAGGCACUACGGUGCUGAAGCAACAAAUGCCCUGCUUCCAGGAAAAGCCUCUAAGCAUCAGGUAACAUCAAAUCGUACCCCAAACCGACACAGGUGGUCAGGUAGAGAAUACCAAGGCGCUUGAGAGAACUCGGGUGAAGGAACUAGGCAAAAUGGUGCCGUAACUUCGGGAGAAGGCACGCUGAUACGUAGGUGAAGCGACUUGCUCGUGGAGCUGAAAUCAGUCGAAGAUACCAGCUGGCUGCAACUGUUUAUUAAAAACACAGCACUGUGCAAACACGAAAGUGGACGUAUACGGUGUGACGCCUGCCCGGUGCCGGAAGGUUAAUUGAUGGGGUUAGCGCAAGCGAAGCUCUUGAUCGAAGCCCCGGUAAACGGCGGCCGUAACUAUAACGGUCCUAAGGUAGCGAAAUUCCUUGUCGGGUAAGUUCCGACCUGCACGAAUGGCGUAAUGAUGGCCAGGCUGUCUCCACCCGAGACUCAGUGAAAUUGAACUCGCUGUGAAGAUGCAGUGUACCCGCGGCAAGACGGAAAGACCCCGUGAACCUUUACUAUAGCUUGACACUGAACAUUGAGCCUUGAUGUGUAGGAUAGGUGGGAGGCUUUGAAGUGUGGACGCCAGUCUGCAUGGAGCCGACCUUGAAAUACCACCCUUUAAUGUUUGAUGUUCUAACGUGGACCCGUGAUCCGGGUUGCGGACAGUGUCUGGUGGGUAGUUUGACUGGGGCGGUCUCCUCCUAAAGAGUAACGGAGGAGCACGAAGGUUGGCUAAUCCUGGUCGGACAUCAGGAGGUUAGUGCAAUGGCAUAAGCCAGCUUGACUGCGAGCGUGACGGCGCGAGCAGGUGCGAAAGCAGGUCAUAGUGAUCCGGUGGUUCUGAAUGGAAGGGCCAUCGCUCAACGGAUAAAAGGUACUCCGGGGAUAACAGGCUGAUACCGCCCAAGAGUUCAUAUCGACGGCGGUGUUUGGCACCUCGAUGUCGGCUCAUCACAUCCUGGGGCUGAAGUAGGUCCCAAGGGUAUGGCUGUUCGCCAUUUAAAGUGGUACGCGAGCUGGGUUUAGAACGUCGUGAGACAGUUCGGUCCCUAUCUGCCGUGGGCGCUGGAGAACUGAGGGGGGCUGCUCCUAGUACGAGAGGACCGGAGUGGACGCAUCACUGGUGUUCGGGUUGUCAUGCCAAUGGCACUGCCCGGUAGCUAAAUGCGGAAGAGAUAAGUGCUGAAAGCAUCUAAGCACGAAACUUGCCCCGAGAUGAGUUCUCCCUGACCCUUUAAGGGUCCUGAAGGAACGUUGAAGACGACGACGUUGAUAGGCCG